rnacentral:lncRNA from 1 species
UGGGAGGGGUAACUGGGGACUCGAGCUCAGUGAUGACGCGACUCUCACGUGACCAGGAGUCGACGUGUGCAGAAGUCCUUAUAGUCCAGGGCCUGUUUCCCUGUAGCAGCUCCCUAUUGCUGGAGAAGGAGAAAAGUGCCCAAGAUCCUUUCAGGAUAUUUGGUUUUUUGGGCGCGACACAAAUCGAGGUGAGGGAAGAGAGAGGAAAAUCCCCUGAAUCCCUGCAGGUCAGUUUUUGUAAAGGUGCAAUUGCUUCGUGUCUCUUUGGGUGGGGGUGGAAGUGUGAGUGACACCAAAGCACAUCCCGGGGUCGCAGCAGCCCCUCCCCAUCCGGAUUAAGCGCCGGAGGCCGGUGCCGAGCCUGCAGCGGAAAUGAGGCGGGGGAGGGGGAGGUUUAAGAGACGCUGAACUGGGAGGGGAGACCAGAGACUGGACCAACCCUCUCAGGUGAGAGGCUGGAGGUUGAGAGGGCUUGGGAAAGUCUGAAGGGCGGGAGUGUUGGAGACCAGAGGCGGGAGAAGGGUUAAUUGCUUCCGUACUGCUCCCAUUUCAGUAUUAGGAGAGGCUUGUAGCAGGGCCUGCUGGGAAGAUGGUGGGCAGGAGCAGGAGGAGAAAGAUGGAGCUGGAACGAAAGGGGGCGGGAAGGGAGGUGGAGUCAGGGGAGUUCCGAGCCUGAGGAUCCAGCUUUCUCUAGUUGGAAAACUUUUGACAAUUAGGGUACUGAGUCAGAAAAGGCCAGUCGCUAGGGGACCCCGUACUCUGGCUGCUGGUCUGUUUGCCUGGAAUCUAGUAGUUUUGUUUCCUUGUUUUCUAGGAUUAAUUUAUUCAAAAGGACAAUUAAAAAUACUUUCAAUAUUGCAAAAGUCUUGAAGAAAAUGAGGGAAAAAUCCACAGAACUGCAAAGGCCGAGGAAGAUCGCACCUUUGGAGGAUUGUACCACAGGAGGCAGAAGGAAUCCUCAACUUCUUGAAGUGAAUGGUAUUAAGCCAGAGCAGAAGGAAACCCCAGAGGAGAGCCGAAUCAGCCGGCCAGGGAUUUAAAGAGACACACCUGUUAGGCAUUUGAUACCCGGGAGAGAACGAUGAUAGAGGGUAGAUGAGCGU